rnacentral:lncRNA from 1 species
UUUGAAGUAUCGUAGUAUGGUUUACACUUUUGUAGACCAUGUGGAAGAUGUUAAUGUUAACGAUGUAAAGCCAAUCACGUCAAGAAUGCAAUGGCUAGACAUCAUUAGUGAAAAGGCCAUUUAAACCAAAGCAACGUUGCGUUCCAUCAUUAGUGAACAAGUUCGAUUUUGUUAGCUAACUUAGAGUGAGGACAUGUAUUGCUUUUGUUGUUGGCUAAU